CCUACGGGUGGCAGCAGUAGGGAAUCUUUCACAAUGGGCGAAAGCCUGAUGGAGCAACGCCGCGUGCAGGAUGAAGGCCUUCGGGUUGUAAACUGCUUUUAUAAGCGAGAAAUAUGAUGGUAACUUAUGAAUAAGGAUCGGCUAACUACGUGCCAGCAGCCGCGGUCAUACGUAGGAUCCGAGCAUUAUCCGGAGUGACUGGGCGUAAAGAGUUGCGUAGGUGGGAUAAUAAGUAGCUAGGGAAAUCUGGUGGCUCAACCAUUCAGACGAUUAGCUAAACUGUUAAGCUCGAGACCGUUAGGGGUAACUGGAAUGUCUAGUGUAGGAGUGAAAUCCGUAGAUAUUAGAAAGAACACCAAUAGCGUAGGCAGGUUGCUGGGACGGUUCUGACACUAAGGCACGAAAGCGUAGGGAGCAAACGGGAUUAGAUACCCGAGUAGUC
rnacentral:rRNA from 1 species